CUUGAGCUACAUCCACUGUUAAAGUUGUCGGAAGGGAAACAAUAUAACAUUGUAUGAGUACCUCUAGUACCCCCACUAUCUCGUAUGAUUGAGGAAGCAAGCUUUGUUGAAAGCUUGAAGAUCUUGCUUCUGCCACUCGUAUUGCAAGUCACAAAGAUUGUUGAAUGGUGUCAAGAUAAACAUCUCCUCUAGCAUCUUCUUGAACUGUGGCCAAGAGGAAAAGAUUCCUUCUUGCUCCAGACUGUGAAACCAUUCUGAAGCAAGCUCCUUCAAGUACAUAGCCGCAAAUGGAACCUUCUUGUGGUCCUUCUGCUUCCUGAAGACAAAAUUCCUUUCCAAUUGCCUGAUCCAUUCUUGCAGCUUCAAUUGGUCAUUUGCCCCAUUGUCUUGAUCCACUGGAAAUUUCUCUAGAUCCUGCCAUCUGGAGGUUUGAGGUCCCCAACCCAAGAUCCCUUUGCCCGCUAGAAGAUCCACCUGACAAAUCUUGUCAAGGAGAUCCUCAUACCAGGGUGUCUACUCGAUUAUUGGUAGCGGCCGAGAACUAGAAUCGACAAAGACUUCCUCCUUCGAAGAUGAUCUUCGUUAAGUCCCCCUCCUUCGAGCCAUGCAGCCCCCAGUCCACUAGCAAGCCUGAACUAUUUGUCACUGAUCUGCUGCAACACCAAUGCUGUGGCAUGCUCCAAAGACUGCAAGGUUUGCUGGAGUUGAUCUUGCUGGCUCACUAAUUGCUUAUGGUUUUCAAGAUACUGCUGCAUAAACGAUUGAAGUGCCCCUUCAACUCAUUCACCAAUUCCCCAGCCAUGGUGUGCUAUGGCGAUUCCUCCAAGUCUGGAACAACGUUGAUGCUUGAUCCGCCUCCUCCUCCCGUCGAUCUUGUGAUUUCUUGAUCGCCCACAGAAUGGUGCUUAUAUUUGGAUCCUCGCCAUACCACACUGCCAAAGACAAAAACCUCGACUGCCCACGAAGAAACCUUACCACACAACGGAGGACGGAUCCCAGAUCACAAUGAAA
rnacentral:lncRNA from 1 species